rnacentral:rRNA from 1 species
CGAAGGGUGCAAACGUUGCUCGGAAUCAUUGGGCGUAAAGCGCACGUAGGCGGCCCUGUAAGUCGGAUGUGAAAUCCCUCGGCUCAACCGAGGACGUGCACCCGAAACUGCAGAGCUCGAGUAUGGAAGAGGGUCGCGGAAUUCCCGGUGUAGAGGUGAAAUUCGUAGAUAUCGGGAGGAACACCAGUGGCGAAGGCGGCGACCUGGGCCAAUACUGACGCUGAGGUGCGAAAGCGUGGGGAGCAAACAGGAUUAGAUACCCCGGUAGUCCACGCCGUAAACGAUGAGUGCUAGGUGCUGCGGGUAUUGACCCCUGCGGUGCCGUAGCUAACGCGUUAAGCACUCCGCCUGGGGAGUACGGCCGCAAGGCUA